GAAAAGCAAAUGUAGGUAUAAGUAACGAUAAAGGGGGUGAGAAACCCCCUCGCCGCAAGACUAAGGUUUCCUGAUCAACGCUAAUCGGAUCAGGGUUAGUCGGGUCCUAAGGCUCAGCCGAACGGUGAGGCCGAUGGCAGAACAGGUUAAUAUUCCUGUACUACCUGUAAGAGUGACGUGGAGACGGAGGAGUGACAACGCCGCGGACUGACGGAAUAGUCCGUUAAAGGGUGUAGAUGUUGAUUAUCCCAGGCAAAUCCGGGAUAAGAGUCGAACCUGACAGUAUACCAAUUUCCCCGGAAAACGGUAAUAGUGCGUGUAAACAUACUCCCAAGAAAAUCCGCUAAACUUAAUCUUACAGGUACCCGUACCGUAAACGGACACACGUAGUCGGGUUGAAUAUACUCAGGCGCUUGAGUGAAUCACGGUUAAGGAACUAGGCAAAUUGACCCUGUAACUUCGGGAUAAAGGGUCCCUACCCGGUGACGGGAGGGCGCAGAGAAUAGGUCCAGGCAACUGUUUAACAAAAACACAGGGCUGUGCAAAAUUGAAAGAUCACGUAUACAGCCUGACACCUGCCCGGUGCUGGAAGGUUAAGAGGAGAUGUCAUCGCAAGAGAAGCAUUGAAUUGAAGCCCCAGUAAACGGCGGCCGUAACUAUAACGGUCCUAAGGUAGCGAAAUUCCUUGUCGGGUAAGUUCCGACCUGCACGAAUGGUGUAAUGAUCUGGACGCUGUCUCAACCGUGAGCUCAGUGAAAUUGUAGUAUCGGUGAAGAUGCCGAUUACCCGCGAUGGGACGAAAAGACCCCGUGAACCUUUACUAUAGCUUAACAUUGAAUUUGGGUAAUUGAUGUGUAGGAUAGGCCGGAGACUUUGAAGCAGGUACGCCAGUAUUUGUGGAGUCGCUGUUGAAAUACGGCCCUUUGAUUAUUUGAGUUCUAACUCGUUGUUGCGAGGACACUGUUUGGUGGGUAGUUUGACUGGGGUGGUCGCCUCCAAAAGUGUAACGGAGGCUUCUAAAGGUGCCCUCAGGACGAUUGGUAACCGUCCGUAGAGUGUAAUGGCAUAAGGGCGCUUGACUGGGAGACAGACAAGUCGAUCAGGUAGGAAACUAGAGCAUAGUGAUCCGGUGUUUCCGUAUGGA
rnacentral:rRNA from 1 species